rnacentral:ncRNA from 2 species
AUUGAAUACGUAUCGAAUGGUGCUGGAUGGCAUAUGCCGUCAGCUUAAAAGGGAAGUCCGGUGAGAAACCGGCGCGGUCCCGCCACUGUAACGAGGAGCGCCUAGCGAAUAGCCACUGUUUUUUGCGAGACAAAAAAUGGGAAGGUAGCUGGGUGUGUUGAUCCGUAAGCCAGGAGACCUGCCAUGCGAUCAUUUACAAU